CGCAUGCGGCUCCAGAGCCGCGUGUUGCCGACCCCUGAUCUAGCUAGUACAUCAUUCAAAACACAGGAAGUGCCUAAUCCUUCCCCCGAUAUGAUUGGUUUUACUCUAAGUCGCUCCAGUCAUUUCCCAGCCAAUCAUCGACGAGCACCAGCCGCAGCUGUCCCGCCUCCUGUAGGCGCAUUUUUGUUCCUAAAGCGGAUGACAAUUUUGGUCCUGCGGUUUACUGCUUAAUCGACCGUUAAUAUUUCCAUUGCUACGUGUGUGAACGUGUCCUGAACUGUCCUCAAGAUGCUGCUGAUGUGGCAGUGAAGCGGCUGUGUGAACAUUUGAAGCGGACAAAGUGAAAUGCAUCCUCGGAGCGCUGAACCUGUUCCAUCCCUCACACAAAGCCCGUGAAGCAGGCCGUGUUUUUCCUCACACUGAGACACCGCGCCGAUGAUGCUCAAACAUGUCGGGGAAUCAUUACAAAGGCCACGAAGUCAGCUGCUGCAUCAAAUACUUCAUUUUUGGGUUCAACAUCCUCUUUUGGCUGCUGGGCAUGGCCUUAGUUGGAAUUGGACUAUGGGCAUGGAGUGAGAAGGGGGUUCUGUCCAACAUCUCGUCCAUCACAGACCUGGGGGGUCUGGACCCAGUCUGGCUAUUCAUGGUGGUUGGGGGUGUCAUGUUCAUUCUGGGCUUUGCAGGAUGCAUUGGAGCACUCCGAGAAAACACUUUUCUGCUCAAGUUUUUCUCUGUGUUCCUGGGAAUAAUUUUUUUCUUGGAGUUGACGACAGGAGUCCUGGCGUUUGUCUUCAAGGACUGGAUUAAGGACCAGCUCAACCUGUUCAUCAACAAUAACAUUCGGGCUUACCGGGACGACAUUGAUCUACAGAAUCUCAUUGAUUUCACUCAGGAAUAUUGGGAGUGCUGUGGUGCGUUUGGAGCAGACGACUGGAACCUGAACAUCUAUUUUAACUGUACUGAUGGGAAUCCCAGUCGGGAAAAGUGUGGAGUUCCCUUUUCCUGCUGCACUAAGGACCCAGCGGAGGAUGUAAUAAACACUCAGUGUGGAUACGACAUUCGGGCUAAACCAGACUCGGAGCAGAAGGACUACAUCAAUGUGAAAGGCUGUGUGCCACAGUUUGAGAAGUGGCUGCAGGACAACCUCACCUUGGUGGCUGGGAUAUUCAUAGGAGUCGCACUACUGCAGAUUUUUGGGAUUUGUUUGGCCCAAAACUUAGUGAGUGACAUUGAAGCAGUGCAGGCGAGUUGGGUGCCCCCCCCUCUUUCCAUGCGUCGACUCCCACCACACUCCAGCAAGAAAGCGUCGGCUUACUACUCAUGAGGCGCACACAUAUGCUGCAUGUGUGUUUGUAGCCGUCUCUUUACCUAAUGCUGAAGGAGCAGUUCAACUCUAACAGCACCGGUUCUUUGAGCUCUCCUUCUUGCACACACGGCCGUGGAGCAUUCAGAGGACUUCACCGAUCACCGGCACCAUUAUGUUCACUGAACCAGCAGCUUUAUUCAAGGCACUAAUAUGUGAAAUGCUUUGUAUAUAACACUGUGUGUGACUACUGUAAAAAGAUCAUUGUUGGAGAGGAUGGUUAAACAUGCACCACAUACGCAAUGCUCCAGUUUUGAUAGCUUAGUGUCAAGAGUAGCCGUUUUGAUACAUCUUUUUGAUAUUAGAUCAGUAUUUUUCACUGUGGAAGUGACAUGGUUACACCCGUCAUGUGAAAUAGUUGCAAGAAAUCGAGAAUCUGCUUAUUUUAACAUUCAGCGCUUGCUUCACGUACCUUUUCAUCACUUGUCCAGAUCUGAGGUGCUGGUGGGAUGGAGUUCAGAAGUUAUGAAACUUGCACUGAUUUUGAACUUCUUUUUUCCUCAAAAUAACUUUAAGGAUUUUUGUGUUACAACAGAUUCCAGGACGACUAAAGCUACACAAAUUCCCAAUUAGUCAACCAAGAAGAAUUACUUCAGCUCGCUGAAUAAUUCAAUUCAAUUCAGUUUAUUUAUAUAGCACCAAUUCACACCAAAAGUUAUCUCAUGACACUUUCCAAUUAGAGCAGGUCGAGACCAAACUCUUUAAUUAAAGAUAAAUAAAUAAGGACUUUAUUUGCAAACAGAAUUCUUGCACUAAUGAACUUGAUUUCCUGUUCACUGACUGUCAAACAGCAGGAUGGAGGAUGAGCUAAAGGUUCCCCAGGGACCAACCUGUAAAGCGUCAUAGAGGAAAUGACUACAGAUUACUUGAACUGUCAUAAUGAGUUAAUAUUCAGUGAAUGGACACAUGGGAUCACAGCUAAUUUAGUGAUGGGAGAUACAAUUUUCCCAUUACUGACAGACUGAAAUUUACUCUGCAGCUCCACUGUGUGCUACACAGAGAACCAUGGUUGGAUAUGCCUCUGCAUCACACUUCAGUUCAGGGUGUUAAUGGUAAUACUUUCUGUAAAAUGCUGGGGGCAUUCAUAAGGUCUUAAAAUAUGUUCACAGUGCUUUAUAGCUACACUUGUAAACACUUACGAUGCUGUCUGAUCAACAGUCAUAAAACAUUAUACAUGUGAAUUUGAAUUAUAAACUACAAACCUCAACAAUCAAAUGAAGUAAGGACUCACAGUUCACUAUAAUCAUGCAGUAUUUUCAGUUACCAUAAGGAUAAGUCAUAAUGUAUUAUAAGCCCCAUCAGUCAACCUCCAGUUUAUAACUAGUCAAGAGCAUCCAUAAGACACUUGAAGUUAUAAUUCAUUUUGAGUCACAUCUAUAAAGUCUAUAACUGUUGAUACAGUGCACCAGGAAGCAGAUGAGUGUAGUCAUAAAGCAUUAUAAAACACUACAAAUUCUCCUAUAGAUGAGGUUUUGAGAGGAAGCGUUACCAGCAUGAUUAGGCACCUGGUGUGAAGCAUCAAGCACCAAAUCUUGGCACUUUCAUAAGAAUAUGAUUUAAAUUGAAUUUCUUUUCAAUGUAGGACAAUUUUUUAAAGCAAAUUUCUCAUGUGGCAGCUUGUGUUUAGAGAAUAUUAGCUUAUUUAAUGGAUAGGAUCACGUUUUUCAAAUCUACCGCAAUACAGUGUAAUUAAUGCCGCCUGUAUGCCGAAUCAAUCACUGUUUGCUGUAGUUAUUCUUCCUCUCCAUACUGGAUAUGAAGCGAUCCCAUCAGUAAUGGUUAUGUGUGAAAAUGCUUCUGAAAAUGAAGCCAAGGCUACCAGAAAUCACUGAAUAAAGCAGCUAUCUCUGUCCUGGCAGGGAGGUGUUUUUUUCCCAGCAACUAAGCCAAUACUAAUUUAGGAAUAUGCGAUUUGGUCAACACAGACCAUCAUGUUGGCUGUCACAUUAGUUUCAGCUAUACAUUCAGACUGUACAUUUUGACCGGUUUCUUACAUGUGUUACUUGUGUUGUGCAAGGAUUUACACUCAACCAGCUGAGACAGGAGGAAAGAUGACAGCAACCAAUAACUUUAUGUACACUAGGCCUGCGAGUAUUAAGAUGAGCUUGAAAAAUAUGAACCAAUCCUGUUAAUCCUUUCAAUGAAAGAUUUUUUUUUAAAGAGAAAACACAUUUAAAGUAAAGUUAUACUAAGCAGUACCAAAACCUGAUAGCAAAUGAUACCCAGUCCUAUCACAUAUGUAUAAGUCACUGUAAUUCUUAUCAGUCUGAAAAGUGAACAUCUUAAUUCACAUCUUUUUUUUAAUGUUAUGGAGGCUUGAAGAAGUCUAGAUUAAGUUUGAGGGGAAAACUUGUUCAAAUCCUGAUACAUUUAUGUAGCUGUAACUGCACUGUCAUUUCAUUUCCAUCACAAAGAAAGUUGUUUUACUUCCUAGGUUUUGGUGGUUAGAACGCAAACCAAGGAACUAGUCAUUCAUCCUUGUGGUGGUGUGGAUCGUAGACUUACAUUGAGUGAACAAAAUCCUUAAAUCCAACAUGUUUUUUUUAAUCAGUGUUUCUGUUGUGAUUAUUUGCGCAAAGCAUGCAUCACUGACUUUGUUUGGAGCAAAGUAUUUUUAAGUAUGUUUCCUCAGUCUGUCAGACUGAUACUGUGGGAUACAUUCUGACAUAUUUUAGGAUAAUUUAAAAGGGAUCACCACUGUUUUUGAUACUAAAUAUUUAUUGGACAUUUAAUUUGGUUUUGUAUCUUUCCUGGUGUAUUGGACAGCAAACCAAGUGUUACUGAAGCCCAUUAGUUGUUCUGAAGAGUCAUUAUACGGUCCUGAUGUGUAGACCACUUACUAAUCACUACCUGUAUCACUUCCAAAUUUGUUUAGAGUACAGCCUGCAAACACUGUAAUGUAACUACCUCCUAAUUUCCUUGUCUCAUGUCCUGUUGAGAUUGGACUGAUUUUAAUAUUGAGUAAAAUUAAUUAAUAAAGCUGACAAAAAAUGAUUAAAGUGUUUCUCCCCCCAUUCUUCUGGCACCAAGAGCUCACUGAUUUGUUUAUUCAUAUCACUUCCCACACAUCGUCUGUCAGUGUUCCGGGACAUCUUUGGUGUCUAUCACUGCUGAAUACGCUAGACUCAUUUCUGCUUAUUCCAGACAACUGGACUCCAGAAAGCACUUGGAAACAGGACUUUGAUAAAGUAGACAUGAGAGUGAACGUCUGAUGAUUAUGCCAGUUACAAUAAAGCGAUCACUGUGAAUUUAAAAAACAAGCUAGUGUUCAAACACGGAAAAAAAAAAACAUAUUAGACCUGUAACUGAUCUUCCAAAUGUGAAAUUCACAGUUCAUGGUGAAUACAGUGCAAACUAGCUACAGCUAAUGUAUGUACACUUGGUAUUAUUUGCCAUUUGUGACAUAUAAACCUACUGUCUGAACUCACAGUAGAAUGCAAAGCAAAUGUUAGAGGCACACUGAUUGUGUGCAAAGUCGAUAGAACAAUGUGACUACACAUGAACUCGCCCACCAUGCAUUUGCACUACAUUAAAAUGACUGAAAUUCCAGUAUAUGCCCAGGCUUUAUGAAUCAGCUUCUUAAACAGACAGAUGAGAGGAAAAAUAGCUCCGACACACUAUUUUUGGAUAAUGUUUAACCUCACAGAUUAAAUUGCGGCCUGUUUUGUCAGUUUUCUGAGUUUUUUUUUCAUUCAAACUACUCAACUAUUCUGAAGUUUAAACAUCCUGUUUAAAUGUCAGGUAAAUUAGUUGUUAGGAACAUGCCUAAUUUUGAGUCUAAUUCAUU